rnacentral:rRNA from 1 species
ACGUGGGAAACCUACCUCUUAGCAGGGGAUAACAUUUGGAAACAGAUGCUAAUACCGUAUAACAAUAGCAACCGCAUGGUUGCUACUUAAAAGAUGGUUCUGCUAUCACUAAGAGAUGGUCCCGCGGUGCAUUAGUUAGUUGGUGAGGUAAUGGCUCACCAAGACGAUGAUGCAUAGCCGAGUUGAGAGACUGAUCGGCCACAAUGGGACUGAGACACGGCCCAUACUCCUACGGGAGGCAGCAGUAGGGAAUCUUCCACAAUGGGCGAAAGCCUGAUGGAGCAACGCCGCGUGUGUGAUGAAGGGUUUCGGCUCGUAAAACACUGUUGUAAGAGAAGAAUGACAUUGAGAGUAACUGUUCAAUGUGUGACGGUAUCUUACCAGAAAGGAACGGCUAAAUACGUGCCAGCAGCCGCG